GACGAACGCUGGCGGCGUGCUUAACACAUGCAAGUCGAACGGUGAAGCGCCUUCCUUUUUGGUGGGUGUGGAUGAGUGGCGAACGGGUGAGUAACACGUGAGUAACCUGCCCCCUUCUUCUGGAUAACCGCAUGAAAGUGUGGCUAAUACGGGAUAUUCUGUGUCUGUCGCAUGAUGGGUCUGGGAAAGAUAUUGUUUCGGUGGGGGAUGGGCUCGCGGCCUAUCAGCUUGUUGGUGGGGUGAUGGCCUACCAAGGCGGUGACGGGUAGCCGGCCUGAGAGGGUGGACGGUCACACUGGGACUGAGACACGGCCCAGACUCCUACGGGAGGCGGCAGUGGGGUAUAUUGCACAAUGGGCGCAAGCCUGAUGCAGCGACGCCGCGUGAGGGAUGGAGGCCUUCGGGUUGUGAACCUCUUUCGCCAGUGAAGCAGGCCUGCCUCGUUUGUGGGUGGGUUGACGGUAGCUGGAUAAGAAGCGCCGGCUAACUACGUG
rnacentral:rRNA from 1 species